UACGGGGGGGGCAAGCGUUGUUCGGAAUUACUGGGCGUAAAGGGCUCGUAGGUGGCCAACUAAGUCGGACGUGAAAUCCCUCAGCUUAACUGGGGAACUGCGUCCGAUACUGGAUGGCUCGAGUUUGGGAGAGGGAUGCGGAAUUCCAGGUGUAGCGGUGAAAUGCGUAGAGAUCCGGAGGAAGACCGGUGGCGAAGGCGGCCUGCUGGGCAGUUACUGACACUGAGGCGCGACAGCGUGGGGAGCAAACAGG
rnacentral:rRNA from 1 species